GAGUUUGAUUCAUGGCUCAGGAUGAACGCUGGCUACAGGCUUAACACAUGCAAGUCGAGGGGAAACGACGGGGAAGCUUGCUUCCUUGGGCGUCGACCGGCGCACGGGUGAGUAACGCGUAUCCAACCUGCCUCUGACUGAGGGAUAACCCGUCGAAAGUCGGCCUAAUACCUCAUGGCAUCGUCUGCGGGCAUCCAACGACGAUUAAAGAUUUCAUCGGUCAGGGAUGGGGAUGCGUCUGAUUAGCUUGUUGGCGGGGUAACGGCCCACCAAGGCUACGAUCAGUAGGGGUUCUGAGAGGAAGGUCCCCCACAUUGGAACUGAGACACGGUCCAAACUCCUACGGGAGGCAGCAGUGAGGAAUAUUGGUCAAUGGGCGGGAGCCUGAACCAGCCAAGUAGCGUGCAGGAAGACGGCCCUAUGGGUUGUAAACUGCUUUUAUGCGGGGAUAAAGUGAGGGACGUGUCCUUCAUUGCAGGUACCGCAUGAAUAAGGACCGGCUAAUUCCGUGCCAGCAGCCGCGGUAAUACGGAAGGUCCGGGCGUUAUCCGGAUUUAUUGGGUUUAAAGGGAGCGUAGGCCGUGGAUUAAGCGUGUUGUGAAAUGCAGGUGCUCAACGUCUGCACUGCAGCGCGAACUGGUCCACUUGAGUGUGCACAACGCAGGCGGAAUUCGUCGUGUAGCGGUGAAAUGCUUAGAUAUGACGAAGAACUCCGAUUGCGAAGGCAGCUUGCGGGAGCACAACUGACGCUGAAGCUCGAAAGUGCGGGUAUCGAACAGGAUUAGAUACCCUGGUAGUCCGCACGGUAAACGAUGGAUGCCCGUUGUCAGGCUGUUUCAGCCUGGUGACCAAGCGAAAGCAUUAAGCAUCCCACCUGGGGAGUACGCCGGCAACGGUGAAACUCAAAGGAAUUGACGGGGGCCCGCACAAGCGGAGGAACAUGUGGUUCAAUUCGAUGAUACGCGAGGAACCUUACCCGGGCUUGAAUUGCAGACGAAGGCUUCAGAGAUGAAGCGGCCCUUCGGGGCGUCUGUGAAGGUGCUGCAUGGUUGUCGUCAGCUCGUGCCGUGAGGUGUCGGCUUAAGUGCCAUAACGAGCGCAACCCCUUUCUUCAGUUGCCAUCAGGUGAUGCUGGGCACUCUGGAGACACUGCCACCGCAAGGUGUGAGGAAGGUGGGGAUGACGUCAAAAUCAGCACGGCCCUUACGUCCGGGGCUACACACGUGUUACAAUGGCCGGUACAGAGAGUUGAUUUUGUGCGAAGCACGAUCUAAUCCUUAAAUCCGGUCCCAGUUCGGACUGGGGUCUGCAAACCCGACCCCACGAAAGCUGGAAUUCGCUAGUAAUCGCGCAUACAGCCAUGGCGCGGUGAAAUACGUUUCCCGGGCCAUGUCACACCGCCCGUUCAGAGACGAAAUCGGCGGCCGGCGAAAAACGCAUCCCCCGAG
rnacentral:rRNA from 1 species